GGGUCAGUAGGUUGGUCGUGCCACCGGUACGUACUGGUCUCACUGAUUCCUCCUUCCUGAAUAACCGUAAUACCAUUAAUUUGGUGUUGCGGGGAAACAGGACUGUUACUUUGAAAAAAUUAGAGUGUUUAAAGCAAGCUAACGCUUGAAUACAUUAGCAUGGAAUAAUGAAAUAGGACGAUCGAUCCUAUUUUGUUGGUUUCUAGGAUUGACGUA
rnacentral:rRNA from 1 species